GAUGAACGCUGGCGGCAUGCUUAACACAUGCGAGUCGGACGGGAAGGGGUGUUUCCAGUGGCGGGCUGGUGAGUAACGCGUAAGAACCUGCCCUUGGGAGGGGAACAACGGCUGUAAACGGCUGCUAAUACCCCGUGGGCUGAGGCGCAAAAGGAGUAAUCCGCCCGAGGAGGGGCUUGCGUCUGAUUAGCUGGUUGGUGAGGCAAUAGCUUACGAAGGCGAUGAUCAGUCGCUGGUCCGAGAGGAUGAUCAGCCACACUGGGACGAAGACGCGGCGCCGACUACGGCGGGAGGCAGCAGUGGGGAAUGUACAGCAAGGGGAGAAAGGCUGAAGGAGCGAGGCGGCGGGGAGGUAGAAGGUCCGCGGGUCGUGAGCUGCUUUUCGCGGAGAAGCAGGAAUGACGGUAUCUGGUGAAUAAGCACCGGCUAACUCUGUG
rnacentral:rRNA from 1 species